CCUACGGGGGGCAGCAGUGAGGAAUAUUGGUCAAUGGCCGAGAGGCUGAACCAGCCAAGUCGCGUGAGGGAAGACGGCCCUACGGGUUGUAAACCUCUUUUGUCGGGGAGCAAAGCGAGUCACGUGUGACUCAUUGAGAGUACCCGAAGAAAAAGCAUCGGCUAACUCCGUGCCAGCAGCCGCGGUAAUACGGAGGAUGCGAGCGUUAUCCGGAUUUAUUGGGUUUAAAGGGUGCGCAGGCGGAGGUGCAAGUCAGCGGUAAAAUUGCGGGGCUCAACCCCGUACUGCCGUUGAAACUGCAUCCCUUGAGUGCGCGAGAAGUAUGCGGAAUGCGUGGUGUAGCGGUGAAAUGCAUAGAUAUCACGCAGAACUCCGAUUGCGAAGGCAGCAUACCGGCGCGCAACUGACGUUGAGGCUCGAAAGCGUGGGGAGCAAACAGGAUUAGAUACCCCUGUAGUC
rnacentral:rRNA from 1 species